rnacentral:lncRNA from 1 species
AAGAGUCAGAGAGAGGGACAUAGAUUAUGAAAGAGAGAGAGAGUGUGCGUCAUACACAUAUAUAUAUAUAUACAUAUAUACACACAUGAAUAAAGACAGAGACACAGCAGAGAGAAAGAGACAGUUAAGAAAGAGGCAAGCUAUUACAUUGGAUGUGCUUUUAUAUGUUCUAAGUGUUGGCCAGACGUGUUUUCACUGGCUGCUGUUACUGUUCCUGUUGCCAGCAUCGACAUUUUUUCCUCUUCUUCUUAAAUGAUUACAAGGAUGGUUGGCAGCGGGACGGGCGGCUUCCACAGGAAUGUCCGAAACUUUCUCUUCGGCUAUAUUACAUUAACGACGGUUAUUCUACAAUGGCAGGGUGAUGCCGUUCUACAGAAAAACGGAAACAGAACUGGGAAAUCUGUAGAUGGACAACUGGUCGGG